UACGUAGGGUGCGAGCGUUAAUCGGAUUUACUGGGCGUAAAGCGGGCGCAGGCGGCCCGUUAAGACAGGUGUGAAAUCCCUGGGCUCAACCUAGGAAUUGCGCUUGUGACUGGCGGGCUCGAGUACGGUAGAGGGGGGUGGAAUUCCUGGUGUAGCAGUGAAAUGCGUAGAGAUCAGGAGGAACACCGAUGGCGAAGGCAGCCCCCUGGGCCUGUACUGACGCUCAUGCACGAAAGCGUGGGGAGCAAACAGU
rnacentral:rRNA from 1 species